rnacentral:rRNA from 1 species
UACGUAGGCAGCAAGCGUUGUUCGGAAUUACUGGGCGUAAAGAGUGUGUAGGCGGUGUUCUAAGUUUGUCGUGAAAUCUCCUGGCUUAACUGGGAGGGUGCGGCGAAAACUGGAAUGCUAGAGGAUGGGAGAGGUAAGCGGAAUUCCUGGUGUAGCGGUGAAAUGCGUAGAUAUCAGGAGGAACACCUGUGGUGUAGACAGCUUACUGGACCAUUUCUGACGCUGAGACACGAAAGCGUGGGUAGCAAACAGG